rnacentral:rRNA from 1 species
GUUAGCGGCGGACGGGUGAGUAACACGUGGGUAACCUGCCUGUAAGACUGGGAUAACUCCGGGAAACCGGAGCUAAUACCGGAUAGUUCCUUGAACCGCAUGGUUCAAGGAUGAAAGACGGUUUCGGCUGUCACUUACAGAUGGACCCGCGGCGCAUUAGCUAGUUGGUGGGGUAAUGGCUCACCAAGGCGACGAUGCGUAGCCGACCUGAGAGGGUGAUCGGCCACACUGGGACUGAGACACGGCCCAGACUCCUACGGGAGGCAGCAGUAGGGAAUCUUCCGCAAUGGACGAAAGUCUGACGGAGCAACGCCGCGUGAGUGAUGAAGGUUUUCGGAUCGUAAAGCUCUGUUGUUAGGGAAGAACAAGUGCGAGAGUAACUGCUCGCACCUUGACGGUACCUAACCAGAAAGCCACGGCUAACUACGUGCCAGCAGCCGCGGUAAUACGUAGGUGGCAAGCGUUGUCCGGAAUUAUUGGGCGUAAAGGGCUCGCAGGCGGUUUCUUAAGUCUGAUGUGAAAGCCCCCGGCUCAACCGGGGAGGGUCAUUGGAAACUGGGAAACUUGAGUGCAGAAGAGGAGAGUGGAAUUCCACGUGUAGCGGUGAAAUGCGUAGAGAUGUGGAGGAACACCAGUGGCGAAGGCGACUCUCUGGUCUGUAACUGACGCUGAGGAGCGAAAGCGUGGGGAGCGAACAGGAUUAGAUACCCUGGUAGUCCACGCCGUAAACGAUGAGUGCUAAGUGUUAGGGGGUUUCCGCCCCUUAGUGCUGCAGCUAACGCAUUAAGCACUCCGCCUGGGGAGUACGGUCGCAAGACUGAAACUCAAAGGAAU